rnacentral:rRNA from 1 species
AAUAAAAUGAAUAAGGGCAAUAAGUGGAUGCCUUGGUGAUAUCAGGCGACGAAGGACGUGGACAACUGCGAUAAGCCUCGGGGAGCGGUAAGCACGCUUUGAUCCGGGGAUUUCCGAAUGAGGAAACUCGACCAGGUGAAAGUCUGGUCAGUGUAUGCUGAAUAUAUAGGCAUACACGGCGAACCUGCUGAAGUGAAACAUCUCAGUAAGCAGAGGAAAAGAAAGCGAAGCGAUUUCCUGAGUAGUGGCGAGCGAAAAGGAAACAGUCUAAACCGUUGGGAUUUAUCCCGACGGGGUUGUAGGAGCCAAACGUUGGACGGUGGAUGAUAGAAGAAUCUUCUGGAAAGGAGAGUCAUAGAAGGUGAUAACCCUGUAAUCGAAAUCUGAAGCUGCCAUAUGGAAUUCCUAAGUAAUGCGGGAUGCGUGAAACCCUGCAUGAAUCUGCGCGGACCACCGCGUAAGACUAAAUACUCGAUAUCGACCGAUAGUGAACUAGUACCGCGAGGGAAAGGUGAAAAGAACCCCGUUGAGGGGAGUGAAAUAGUACCUGAAACUUGUUGCCUACAAGCGGUCGGAGCCUCCUAGUGAGGUGACGGCGUACCUUUUGCAUAAUGGGUCUGGGAGUCAAUAUUUGUAGCGAGCUUAAGGCUUUACUGGCCGGAGGCGUAGCGAAAGCGAGUCUGAAUAGGGCGAAUAGUUGCAGGUAUUGCACCCGAAGCGGAGGUGAUCUACCCAUGGCCAGGUUGAAGCUCGAGUAAAAUCGAGUGGAGGACCGAACCGGUGAACCUUGAGACGUUCUCGGAUGAGCUGUGGGUAGGAGCGAAAGACUAAUCAAACCCCGUAAUAGCUGGUUCUCUUCGAAAUAUAUUUAGGUAUAGCCUUGUGCGCUUAUCAUUGAGGGUAGAGCACUGAAAAGGUUAGGGUCCACACCAGGAUACCAACCCUUAUCAAACUCCGAAUAUCGAUGAACGUAGCACAGGAGUCAGACUGUGGGGGAUAAGCUCCAUGGUCGAGAGGGAAAGAGCCCAGACCGUCGAUUAAGGCCCCUAAAUCAUUGCUAAGUGGAUUAAAGGAGGUGAAUUCACGCGGACAAUAGGGAUGUUGGCUUAGAAGCAGCCACCAUUUAAACAGUGCGUAAUAGCUGACCUAUCGAGUGAAUUUGCGCCUAAGAUGAUCGGGACUAAAGCAAUGUGCCGAAAUCACGGACUCGUCUUUGACGAGUGGUAGAAGAGCGUUCCAACAGGGCAGAAGCCGAAGGGGCAACCGACGGUGGACCGGUUGGAAGUGAGAAUCCAGACAUGAGUAACGAGAAACACGGUGAAAAUCCGUGUCGCCGCAAGGAUAAGGUUUCCAGGGCAAAGUUCGUCCGCCCUGGGUCAGUCGAGAGCUAAGGCGAGGCCGUAAGGAGUAGUCGAUGCACGACAGAUUAAUAUUUCUGUACCACCUUAUAUGUGUUAUACUUUCGGAGUGACGGAGAAGGCUAGUUCAGCAUAGUGUUGAAUGUCUAUGUCUAAGCACAGAGGCUGAUCGGUAGGGAAAUCCGCCGGUCAUCGGGCUGAUGUGUGAUGGGACUUUUUUGCUACGGCAGAAAAUGAUUGAAUGAUGUCAUGCUUCCAGGAAAAACUUCGUUGGAAAUAUAUGGGGUGCUCGUACCGCAAACCGACACAGGUAUCCGAGAUGAGUAUUCUAAGGCGCGUGAGUUAAAUCUCCAUAAGGAACUCUGCAAACUUGCCUUGUAUCUUCGGUAUAAAAGGCACCAGCUUAGGCUGGUUUCAACAAAGAGGCCCUGCCGACUGUUUGGCAAAAACACAGCUCUCUGCCAAGUCGCAAGACGAUGUAUAGGGAGUGACACGUGACCAAUGCGGAAAGGUGAACGCUGGAGGUGUGAGCUUCUGGUCUAAGCCCCCGUGAAUGUCGGCCGUAACUAUAACGGUCCUAAGGUAGCGAAAUUCCUUGUCGGGUAAGUUCCGACCUGCACGAAACGUGUAACGAGUAGGGCGCUGUCUCUUGGAGAUGCUCAGUGAAAUUGUAGUCGCGGUAAAGAUGCCGCGUUCCCGCAGCAGGACGGAAAGACCCUAUGGACCUUUACUGUAACCUGGUAUUGUUAUUUGAUUUUCGAUGCGUAGAAUAGGUGGGAGGCUUUGAGACGAUUCUUCAGGGGAUCGUGGAGCCACCUGUGAAAUACCACUCUUCGUUGAUUAGAUAUCUAACGCUGUUCCGUGAUCCGGACGGCAGACAGUGCUAGGGGGUCAGUUUGACUGGGGCGGUCUCCUCCUAAAGAGUAACGGAGGAUUACGAAGGUUCUCUCACGCCGGUUGGCAAUCGGCGGUUGAGUGCAUGAGCAUAAGAGAGCUUUACUGUAAGACGUACAUGUCGAGCAGUUACGAAAGUAGGUUCAAGUGAUCCGGUGGUUUGAAGUGGAACUGCCAUCGCUUAUAGGACAAAAGGUACCCUAGGGAUAACAGGCUGAUAGCGCCCAAGCGUUCAAAGCGACGGCGCUGUUUGGCACCUCGAUGUCGGCUCAUCACAUCCUGGGGCUGGAGAAGGUCCCAAGGGUUCGGCUGUUCGCCGAUUAAAGUGGUACGUGAGCUGGGUUCAGAACGUCGUGAGACAGUUUGGUCCUCUAUCCGCUGUGGGCGUUGGAAAUUUGAGGGGUUCAUUUCUUAGUACGAGAGGACCGGAAAUGACGAACCGCUGGUGUUCCGGUUAUUGUGUCAGCAGUAGCGCCGGGUAGCUAAGUUCGGACUGGAUAAGCGCUGAAAGCAUCUAAGCGCCAAGCCAUUCCCAAGAUAAGAUUUCCUUGAAGGUAACUUCGUGAGAGUCCUGGCAGACCACCAGGUUGAUAGGUCGGGUGUGUAAGCGCAGUAAUGUGUUCAGCUAACCGAUACUAAUGACUCGAAGACUUUACAUU